rnacentral:rRNA from 1 species
GGAAGUUGCAAAGAACUUUGAAGAGAGAGUUCAAGAGGGCGUGAAACCGUUUGGAAGCAAACAGGUGGAGCCAAAGGCAGUUGGUCAGGUUCAGCUGUGUGCUGGGUGGCUGAUGUUGUGUGCGCAACUCGUAAGGGUGUGUCGCAGCGUCAGUGCCUGGUGUGCGGUGGUCUCCUGGCCAGCAGACACUGGCGCCCAUUGGCUGUGUGACAGAAAGCAUGUGUAUUGCCAGCAGUGGCCGGUCAAAUGGCUGCUGAAGAGAAUGCGCAUGUGGUGUCGGCAUGGCUGCUGGGUUGUGGCGUACGCGCAGAGCGUGUAAACUGUCAGGGUGCGUUGGCAGCUGGUGGGUGCCUGCUUGCAGGAGCCUGCUGCUGUCGGUGUAGACUGGCGGUGGAUCACGGCCGUACAGCUGGUGAUUUUUGGCCACCCACCUGACCCGUCUUGAAACACGGACCAAGGAGUCUAAUAUGUGUGCGAGUCAUUGGGUGGCAAACCCACAGGCGUAAUGAAAGUGAAACACGUUAUCUGCGGAGCAAUCUGCAGCGCAACGUGAUCCCAUUUCAACUGCUUUUGACAGUGGAGUGGCGAUAGAGCACACAUGUUAGGACCCGAAAGAUGGUGAACUAUGCCUGAGCAGGAUGAAGUCAGAGGAAACUCUGAUGGAGGUCCGUAGCGGUUCUGACGUGCAAAUCGAUCGUCUGACUUGGGUAUAGGGGCGAAAGACUAAUCGAACCAUCU